AACGCACAUUGCGCCCUAUGGUAUUCCAUAGGGCAUGCCUGUUCGAGCGUCAUUUGUACCCUCAAGCUCUGCUUGGUGUUGGGUGUUUGUCCCGCGUUUGCGUGGACUCGCCUUAAAGCAAUUGGCAGCCGGCAUAUUAGUCUGGAGCGCAGCACAUUUUGCACUUCUUACUAUUCUUGUCGGCGUCCAUAAGCCUAUAUUUUUGCUCUUGACCUCGGAUCAGGUAGGGAUACCCGCUGAACUUAA
rnacentral:misc_RNA from 1 species